UCAAGCCCGUUUCUCUGGUGUGCUGUUCUGGGAAGUAGCGCUAUGCGAAGAUUAUAAGUUCUGUUCGCGUUAGUUAGUGGGGUGUGUCAGCUGAGGAACGCUAAGGAUGGAAAAUUAUAGUUUUAGAACGAUUUUUUUUCUGCUGAAAAACUUAUGAAUGACGGAAAAUCUCUCAGAACAGCUUCAAUUUUUGCAGGUGCAUUCAACCGAAGCGAAUACAAAAACGGAAUUUCGCACGCUUUUGGCACGCGUUGCGGAAAUACUCAGAUUUUCAAUAUGAAACUCCAAUGCCGCGCUGCUACCAGCAAGCAAGAAGUCGUCUCAUCACGCAUCGUCGAUAAUCGUACUUGAUGAAAUUAUUAUUAUUAAAUAUUAAAAAUCGUUCCACGGCAGUCGAACAGUUUUGCAUACCCCCGAGGUGCGUACAUGCGAUAAGAUACAAUCGAGUCCCGUCGGGAAGCAAGCACUUCCCGUGCAGUGACACAGAUCGAUGAAUGCCAGGAAUUUUACGCAGCCGGUGUCGAACAAUGGGAGUUCAACCUUGCCUAACCUUUGAGGAUGAGGUAUACUGAGAGAUCAAAUCGAUACCCUGAGACGAAGCCUACGGACGAUUUGUUGCAUCACGCAGAAUAGAACGUAUCAAUCGUCGAAUGUCAUACACGACAUCAAUUAAUCAUUUGACAACUUCACCCCACCCACGCCGACGAUUCAACAAGGAAAGGCAAAUGGAAAUGAUGUGUCUCCGUGUGUUGUGUUUGCUUCCUCAUGGAGGAAGGGUGGGAGUUUUCCGCCGGGAGGAUGAAAAAUUAUCGAGAGGUGCAUUGACGAGUGAAUUUGCGCUUGAAGCCCCGCUUGAAGACACUUCCGGGUGGGAAAAUAGCAAGACUGGAUCAUUAUUCUUCAUAAACAGUGUGAAUGUGAAAAUUGAAGAGGAGUUGAUGGAAUUGUUGACACUUAAACAAGAUACACAAUUGAUCCUCAGCAGAGAUACUUAGCGGAUCUUGUGUACUGUAAUUCUAUUUACAACAAUCACGGCUGUUGUUUCACUAAAUAUAAAACAGCAUAAUAAACAAAAUUAUAUCAUAACGAAA